rnacentral:tRNA from 2 species
AAGGAUUUAGGUUAAAAAAACCUGUGACCUUCAAAGUCGCCAUUAAAAAUUAAAUUUUAAGCCUUA